rnacentral:rRNA from 1 species
GCAUAUCAAUAAGCGGAGGAAAAGAAACCAACAGGGAUUGCCUUAGUAACGGCGAGUGAAGCGGCAAAAGCUCAAAUUUGAAAUCUGGCACUUUCAGUGUCCGAGUUGUAAUUUGAAGAAGGUAACUUUGGAAUUGGCCCUUGUCUAUGUUCCUUGGAACAGGACGUCACAGAGGGUGAGAAUCCCGUGCGAUGAGGUGACCAAUUCUAUGUAAAGUGCUUUCGAAGAGUCGAGUUGUUUGGGAAUGCAGCUCUAAGUGGGUGGUAAAUUCCAUCUAAAGCUAAAUAUUGGCGAGAGACCGAUAGCGAACAAGUACAGUGAUGGAAAGAUGAAAAGAACUUUGAAAAGAGAGUGAAAAAGUACGUGAAAUUGUUGAAAGGGAAGGGCUUGAGAUCAGACUUGGUAUUUUGCGUUCCCUUCCUUUUUGGUUGGGUUCCUCGCAGUUUACUGGGCCAGCAUCGGUUUGGAUGGUAGGAUAAUGACAUUGGAAUGUGGCUCUACUUCGGUGGAGUGUUAUAGACUCUGUUGAUACUACCUAUCUAGACCGAGGACUGCGUCUUUGACUAGGAUGCUGGCGUAAUGAUCUUAAGCCGCCCGUCUUGAAACACGGACC